rnacentral:rRNA from 1 species
AUGCGAUGCCAUUUCCAGCGCAGGUUUGCAUGCAUACGGUCGCUCACCAGUACUAGUUAUAAACAGGACAAAAAUGCUGACGUCAGCCAAGAUUUCUAUGAAAUUCAGAUCUCAAAAUGUUUUGUAGCUCAAACCGUUGAUCCGAUUGAAAAAUUGUUUUCACGUAAAAAAAUUGUCACGACGAGAUCUUCGAAACUAGAUCCCAUGUUGGUAUGUUCCGAUGAUUUUUUUUUGUCAAAAGUUACCAUGCAUAUGCAUAAGCUACAUAAGUUAUCAAUCUAUUCACACCGGACUUAUCAUGCAUCAAAUUAA